CGUGACGCCCAGUGUGAAUUGGCCUUAAUCAACAUAACUGGCCAAUAAAUGUAGGAUCCCUCGCGUAAAGGUGAUGAUUGCCGAAGCAACAGGGAGUAUGAUAACCACACAAAGACUAUAUGAAGUGUUCGCGCGUCGAAAGCAGGAGCAAGGAUCAAGUGGCUCUUCUGCUCUCUCUGCCAUUGGGAAGUGACGUUUCCUCUUCCGCCUUAGAGACCAUUGGCUGGGCUUCGCCUGUAACCCGAGGAAUCUGAAGGCCCCAGUCUUCGUACAGCCAUCCUGAUGUAGGUUUUCCGUGGUUUCUUUGAAUUACUUCAGGCAAAUUUAGGAUCUUACCUAUUAUAGUAUAAGACCACAGCCGACUACCUGUUCCAUCCUUGUCAAAAUAUACCUAUCACACCGACUUACAGAAACUGAGGAGUCGGUGCUGCAAGACGUACCUUGAACGAUGGGUAAAGGCCAAUCUGCCCAGUCCGAAUGGACCGGCCUUUGCUCCAGCCAUCCCAGUGGUUACCUGCAACACUGACUG